rnacentral:lncRNA from 1 species
UUCCUGGGGAUGAUGUCGAAUUGCUAGCUUCUAUCUAUAAUAAUCUGGUGCAACUCGGCAUUCAGAGUGAUUAUUAUAGCCUACUCCUCGAAACUGUCAAUACAUUGUGGGGGGAGGCUAAUGAGGCUAAUAUAGCCAACCUAUAAUCCUGCCUGGGAAGGAGAGAAAGCGAAGGUGAAGCUGCUCCCUAGGCACAGAUCGAAUACCCCAACAGACUCGAUCGAGUGAGUGGAAAGCCAGAAUGGCUUGGU